AUUGAACGCUGGCGGCAGGCUUAACACGUGCAAGUCGAGCGGAGAUGAGGUGCUUGCACCUUAUCUUAGCGGCGGACGGGUGAGUAAUGCUUAGGAAUCUGCCUAUUAGUGGGGGACAACAUUCCGAAAGGAAUGCUAAUACCGCAUACGUCCUACGGGAGAAAGCAGGGGGUCUUCGGACCUUGCGCUAAUAGAUGAGCCUAAGUCGGAUUAGCUAGUUGGUGGGGUAAAGGCCUACCAAGGCGACGAUCUGUAGCGGGUCUGAGAGGAUGAUCCGCCACACUGGGACUGAGACACGGCCCAGACUCCUACGGGAGGCAGCAGUGGGGAAUAUUGGACAAUGGGGGAAACCCUGAUCCAGCCAUGCCGCGUGUGUGAAGAAGGCCUUAUGGUUGUAAAGCACUUUAAGCGAGGAGGAGGCUACUGAGACUAAUACUCUUGGAUAGUGGACGUUACUCGCAGAAUAAGCACCGGCUAACUCUGUGCCAGCCGCCGCCGUAA
rnacentral:rRNA from 1 species